AACAGGUACAGUUUCCGCCUCAACAAAAUCAAACCUGCUCAGGAGGAACUACGGCUACGUGGUCUCCAUCAACUGCUGGUGUUCAAUCUCCAUGAACGGUUUUGUCAGUGGACUUGAAUGAGACUGCAGAGGGGGAGGAUGCAGCAGAGCUGGGACCAGCAAGCAGAUGUCCUGAGUCAGCACAAGGAACUCCAGACUGACGUUCCAGUAUAACCCCCAGCACACUGAAACAGUUCAGUUUCUGAGAGAUCCUCCAGCUUCCUCUGACAUUCCUGUAAGCUGAGAUUUGAGCUCUGUUGGGAGAACCCUUCAUCCCGUUCCCGGUUGGCAGAAGGAUUUGUCACACAGCAAGGGACACCGCUGGGCCCUGGAAGACAAACUGAGUGGAGAGCAAAGGCAGAAUUGGCUCUGGAGAGUGGACUCUUUCUGGUGGCAAAGUUGAGACUAAAUGCAGAUGAACGUCAUUUACCCCCUUCUGAUAUGAGCAAAAAGGGUUUCCUUGCCUGGCCUGGAACACCAAAUGGGCUGCAGUCCGCUGGAGAAAGAAGAUCCCAUCCUGAAUAGCUCUKCCUCUGCUUCUCUUGAACCCCAGGAAGUUACAACACACUCAGACCUGCCAGCCCAACUGCGACAAAAUUGUUCCUCAGUCAGUAUUCCGGAUCUGGCCCAGCGAGGACUGUAUGGAAUGAAAUACUAUCUGGCAGUCUGCAAAGGCAGCGCGUAUGUGCGAAGAGGUUCCUGGCUACUGAGGGGUAGGAGUGUGAUGAAAUGUUCUCCUGUUCGGUAUAUGCAGAAGAGACGAGCUAAGCUGCUAUCUUCACAGCAGUAA
rnacentral:lncRNA from 1 species